rnacentral:lncRNA from 1 species
CGCUUAGGCCGCAGCCUGGCACACGCAACCCCAGCUGCAGAGUCUUUCUUAUCGCUGGAGAGGCAAGCACAGCGCAGAGAGAGUGCUGGGGACGCAGCAGGAAAGGCAGCAGGCACCCAAUGUCCGACACCAAUACACAGAGGGGUGUGGAUGCGCUCGAAGGACAGGUGCCGAGGACAGAGUGAGAAGAGGAGAGGGUGACACGUCACCACGUGGGGACAAAAGAGACCCGCGCCUGGGCAGGAACGCCCAGCGGGCUGUUUCAAGACUGGCGGGUGUGGACGCCCUGGGUGUUGGUGGCAGCUGGCAAGCGAGGAGGUCAGAGGCCGAGCUGGAGCGAGGCCAGACCCCCGAGGGGCACUGCCGUUUUCAUGAGGACGAGGCCU